CUUUAUUGGAGAGUUUGAUCCUGGCUCAGGACGAACGCUGGCGGCGUGCCUAAUACAUGCAAGUCGAGCGAGUCCCUUCGGGGGCUAGCGGCGGACGGGUGAGUAACACGUAGGCAACCUGCCCGUAAGCUCGGGAUAACAUGGGGAAACUCAUGCUAAUACCGGAUAGAGUCUUCUCUCGCAUGAGAGGAGACGGAAAGGUGGCGCAAGCUACCACUUACGGAUGGGCCUGCGGCGCAUUAGCUAGUUGGUGGGGUAACGGCCUACCAAGGCGACGAUGCGUAGCCGACCUGAGAGGGUGACCGGCCACACUGGGACUGAGACACGGCCCAGACUCCUACGGGAGGCAGCAGUAGGGAAUUUUCCACAAUGGACGAAAGUCUGAUGGAGCAACGCC
rnacentral:rRNA from 1 species